rnacentral:lncRNA from 1 species
GUGGCGGCCGCGGCGCGGGGGGCGGCGGCAGCAGCGCGGCUGGCCUYGCCCCGGCGGCCGAUGAAAGAGAAGCGCCGCUUUCCCCUCUCGGCGGUGUCUUGGUGCUCGAGGUGUCUGUGAGGCGCGAAGCGUAGCGAGUCGUGGAGGAGUGGCCCCGGGCGGUCUGUGUGCCCUUGAGUUACCCGAGCAGGCUGGGUACCGUCCCGCCUGCGUCACCCCUUUUAAAAAAAGUGUUUUCUUGUGUGCAGAGCUGCACCUGAAUAGGAAGAAGAAUGCUUGUGAAACGUUCUUUUUAAUAAAGGUUGAUUUUCUGUGA